AAGUCGUAACAAGGUUUCCGUAGGUGAACCUGCGGAAGGAUCAUUGGUUAGAGAGAGAGGGGAGAGAUGUUGGAAUGUGAUGUUGAUAUCAAGUGACAAAUAACUACCUAUAAAUAACUAGCCACCUGGGAUCUCUGGGCUCUU
rnacentral:misc_RNA from 1 species